AUGAUGUGCGGUUUCAGUACUACUAGCUGUGAGGAGGAGGAGGUUAGCCUUGAUGGCCAGGUGGUACCUCGGAAGGACACCUUUCGGUAUUUGGGGUCAAUGUUGCAGGAGGAUGGGGGUAUUGAUGAAGAUGUGAACCAUCGAAUCAAAGCCGGAUGGAUGAAGUGGCGCCAAGCUUCUGGCAUUCUCUGUGACAAGAGAGUGCCACAAAAGCUAAAAGGCAAGUUCUACAGGACGGCGGUUCGACCCGCAAUGUUGUAUGGCGCGGAGUGUUGGCCGACUAAAAGGCGACAUGUUCAACAGUUAGGUGUGGAGGAGAUGCGUAUGUUGAGAUGGAUGUGUGGCCACACGAGGAAGGAUCGAGUCCGGAAUGAUGAUAUACGAGAUAGAGUUGGGGUAGCACCAAUUGAGGAGAAGCUUGUCCAACAUCGUUUGAGAUGGUUUGGGCAUAUUCAGCGCAGGCCUCCAGAAGCUCCAGUGCAUAGCGGACGGCUAAAGCGUGCGGAGAAUGUCAAGAGAGGGCGGGGUCGACCGAUUUUGACAUGGGAGGAGUCCGUUAAGAGAGACCUGAAGGAUUGGAGUAUCGACAAAGAGCUAGCUAUGGAAAGGGGUGCGUGA
rnacentral:rRNA from 1 species